UACGGAGGGUGCAAGCGUUAUCCGGAUUCACUGGGUUUAAAGGGUGCGUAGGUGGGCAGGUAAGUCAGCGGUGAAAUCCCGAGCUUAACUUGGGAACUGCCAUUGAUACUAUCUGUCUUGAAUACCUUGGAGGUGAGCGGAAUAUGUCAUGUAGCGGUGAAAUGCUUAGAUAUGACAUAGAACACAAUUGCGAAGCGGCUCACUGGUCCGGUUCUGACGCUGAGGCGCGAAAGCGUGGGGAGCAAACAGG
rnacentral:rRNA from 1 species